rnacentral:lncRNA from 1 species
AGGAUCUUGAGGGCUGAGACACAGAAGGGAGUAAAAGGAGGAGCUGUUUCUUAGGGCCAUUCAAGACACCUGUGGAGAUUUCUGUCACAGACAGAAAUUCUAAUAUCUAGGGUUCCUGUUUAAACAUCGCUGGUUCCUGUCAAAAAACCUAAUUUCUUCAAAGACUUUCAUAUCCAUGAACUAUUGAGAUACUUGACUCAAAUUGGUCCAGCAUGGAUAUUUCAAGAUGCUUUCUCAGUGACUUUGGCUGAGAUCUGAGAACAUUGGGUGAUUCAAGUGGAAAAGUCGAUGCACAGAGACAGUCUCACUCUCUCGGCGUUGGAAGCCUGGGUCCAGUGGCAUGAAAAAUCGUUACACCUGGAGACUUCCUCAGCUGCAUUGGAUGGCCGUGUUGUCUUUUGUGCUCCAACAUGCCCUAAGCACUCCACAGUGCUUUGCUGCUUCGCCCUGUCAGCCAUUGAACCUUCUUAUUGGUUUCUUCUGUCUGUUUGGCCGAAGCAGUCUUCACAUGCUGGAGAAUGGAAGCUAGGAGAAAUCCUAAUGGAGGAGACAUCCAAGCAACUAUGUACAAACAAAUCAUACAUAUCCAUUGGAGAUAAUCAGAAGGAGGAGGCCCUGGCUUUAAGGCCAUCAGGACAACCUUCCUUUUGA